rnacentral:rRNA from 1 species
GGUUAAGCGACUAAGCGUACACGGUGGAUGCCCUGGCAGUCAGAGGCGAUGAAGGACGUGCUAAUCUGCGAUAAGCGUCGGUAAGGUGAUAUGAACCGUUAUAACCGGCGAUUUCCGAAUGGGGAAACCCAGUGUGAUUCGUCACACUAUCAUUAACUGAAUCCAUAGGUUAAUGAGGCGAACCGGGGGAACUGAAACAUCUAAGUACCCCGAGGAAAAGAAAUCAACCGAGAUUCCCCCAGUAGCGGCGAGCGAACGGGGAGGAGCCCAGAGCCUGAAUCAGUGUGUGUGUUAGUGGAAGCGUCUGGAAAGGCGCGCGAUACAGGGUGACAGCCCCGUACACAAAAAUGCACAUGCUGUGAGCUCGAUGAGUAGGGCGGGACACGUGGUAUCCUGUCUGAAUAUGGGGGGACCAUCCUCCAAGGCUAAAUACUCCUGACUGACCGAUAGUGAACCAGUACCGUGAGGGAAAGGCGAAAAGAACCCCGGCGAGGGGAGUGAAAAAGAACCUGAAACCGUGUACGUACAAGCAGUGGGAGCCUCUUUUAUGGGGUGACUGCGUACCUUUUGUAUAAUGGGUCAGCGACUUAUAUUCUGUAGCAAGGUUAACCGAAUAGGGGAGCCGAAGGGAAACCGAGUCUUAACUGGGCGUUAAGUUGCAGGGUAUAGACCCGAAACCCGGUGAUCUAGCCAUGGGCAGGUUGAAGGUUGGGUAACACUAACUGGAGGACCGAACCGACUAAUGUUGAAAAAUUAGCGGAUGACUUGUGGCUGGGGGUGAAAGGCCAAUCAAACCGGGAGAUAGCUGGUUCUCCCCGAAAGCUAUUUAGGUAGCGCCUCGUGAAUUCAUCUCCGGGGGUAGAGCACUGUUUCGGCAAGGGGGUCAUCCCGACUUACCAACCCGAUGCAAACUGCGAAUACCGGAGAAUGUUAUCACGGGAGACACACGGCGGGUGCUAACGUCCGUCGUGAAGAGGGAAACAACCCAGACCGCCAGCUAAGGUCCCAAAGUCAUGGUUAAGUGGGAAACGAUGUGGGAAGGCCCAGACAGCCAGGAUGUUGGCUUAGAAGCAGCCAUCAUUUAAAGAAAGCGUAAUAGCUCACUGGUCGAGUCGGCCUGCGCGGAAGAUGUAACGGGGCUAAACCAUGCACCGAAGCUGCGGCAGCGACACUGUGUGUUGUUGGGUAGGGGAGCGUUCUGUAAGCCUGUGAAGGUGUACUGUGAGGUAUGCUGGAGGUAUCAGAAGUGCGAAUGCUGACAUAAGUAACGAUAAAGCGGGUGAAAAGCCCGCUCGCCGGAAGACCAAGGGUUCCUGUCCAACGUUAAUCGGGGCAGGGUGAGUCGACCCCUAAGGCGAGGCCGAAAGGCGUAGUCGAUGGGAAACAGGUUAAUAUUCCUGUACUUGGUGUUACUGCGAAGGGGGGACGGAGAAGGCUAUGUUGGCCGGGCGACGGUUGUCCCGGUUUAAGCGUGUAGGCUGGUUUUCCAGGCAAAUCCGGAAAAUCAAGGCUGAGGCGUGAUGACGAGGCACUACGGUGCUGAAGCAACAAAUGCCCUGCUUCCAGGAAAAGCCUCUAAGCAUCAGGUAACAUCAAAUCGUACCCCAAACCGACACAGGUGGUCAGGUAGAGAAUACCAAGGCGCUUGAGAGAACUCGGGUGAAGGAACUAGGCAAAAUGGUGCCGUAACUUCGGGAGAAGGCACGCUGAUAUGUAGGUGAAGCGACUUGCUCGUGGAGCUGAAAUCAGUCGAAGAUACCAGCUGGCUGCAACUGUUUAUUAAAAACACAGCACUGUGCAAACACGAAAGUGGACGUAUACGGUGUGACGCCUGCCCGGUGCCGGAAGGUUAAUUGAUGGGGUCAGCGCAAGCGAAGCUCUUGAUCGAAGCCCCGGUAAACGGCGGCCGUAACUAUAACGGUCCUAAGGUAGCGAAAUUCCUUGUCGGGUAAGUUCCGACCUGCACGAAUGGCGUAAUGAUGGCCAGGCUGUCUCCACCCGAGACUCAGUGAAAUUGAACUCGCUGUGAAGAUGCAGUGUACCCGCGGCAAGACGGAAAGACCCCGUGAACCUUUACUAUAGCUUGACACUGAACAUUGAGCCUUGAUGUGUAGGAUAGGUGGGAGGCUUUGAAGUGUGGACGCCAGUCUGCAUGGAGCCGACCUUGAAAUACCACCCUUUAAUGUUUGAUGUUCUAACGUUGACCCGUAAUCCGGGUUGCGGACAGUGUCUGGUGGGUAGUUUGACUGGGGCGGUCUCCUCCUAAAGAGUAACGGAGGAGCACGAAGGUUGGCUAAUCCUGGUCGGACAUCAGGAGGUUAGUGCAAUGGCAUAAGCCAGCUUGACUGCGAGCGUGACGGCGCGAGCAGGUGCGAAAGCAGGUCAUAGUGAUCCGGUGGUUCUGAAUGGAAGGGCCAUCGCUCAACGGAUAAAAGGUACUCCGGGGAUAACAGGCUGAUACCGCCCAAGAGUUCAUAUCGACGGCGGUGUUUGGCACCUCGAUGUCGGCUCAUCACAUCCUGGGGCUGAAGUAGGUCCCAAGGGUAUGGCUGUUCGCCAUUUAAAGUGGUACGCGAGCUGGGUUUAGAACGUCGUGAGACAGUUCGGUCCCUAUCUGCCGUGGGCGCUGGAGAACUGAGGGGGGCUGCUCCUAGUACGAGAGGACCGGAGUGGACGCAUCACUGGUGUUCGGGUUGUCAUGCCAAUGGCACUGCCCGGUAGCUAAAUGCGGAAGAGAUAAGUGCUGAAAGCAUCUAAGCACGAAACUUGCCCCGAGAUGAGUUCUCCCUGACUCCUUGAGAGUCCUGAAGGAACGUUGAAGACGACGACGUUGAUAGGCCGGGUGUGUAAGCGCAGCGAUGCGUUGAGCUAACCGGUACUAAUGAACCGUGAGGCUUAACCUU